AUGUUAAGCAGAGUUUUUAAAUGAAGUAAUGAAGGAUGGGAUUCCCCACCGAGCAGAAGGCAGAUAAUGCUAGUAUUUUUGCAAAGUUGAGGAAAGCAGCUUCUCUAACCAGUGUCCUCCAAGCCGCAUCAGCCAAAGAGAGAAUCUAGGCGGUCAGAUGUACCUCAUGAGGCUCUGGGUAGAAGAAACAUACUAAAGUCUGGACCUCUGAGAAGAAACCCAUCUGCUCUCGAAGAAUGAUUUACCAGGUUUGUUUCUAGAUUAACUUGAUGCAAAGAGCCAGGAGCUUACAGUAGAUGGUGGGGAUCGGGGGUGGGGUAGAUGGUAGGGAUUUAAAGGUUCAUCUAGAUUCGGCAGUGGAGCUUCUUUGAGCAGCCAGUGGUUAUGUGCAGAAACCCCGCUGUGUAGACAAAGGCAGGAGUAUGAAGUCUGGGCAGGGAGCAGCGGAGCAGGGGACGACACGUGGACCGAGGGAGAAAAUUAAGGGCAAAAUUUUUCAUAACUUUUCAAUUCUCGUGCCACCCAGUUGAAUUCUCUGCACUUUGCUGUUGUUAAAAGAUAAGAUUUUAUUUGAGCAAAAUUCAAUUUCAUUAGGGCAGCAAAUAGGAAGUAGUUAGGGCUCCGCCCACGGGAAUUUGGAGAGACUUUUAUAGAGAAAAGGAGAAGCAAAGUAAGGAGGGAGCUGAUUCGCUGUAACUUAUAUCCUCAUUGGCUGUUAGUAAUUGGCAGUCCUCAGGUUUUGAUUUUGUAAGCAUGAGGCAUUUGCAGGCUUAGAUUUCAGUUUGCUUCCAUGGGCUGCCAUGGCAUGACAGCCAUCUGAGUCUCAUGACCUUAUUAUUUUAGCAACUAUUCUGAUAGAACAUUUUAUGCUUUCAGUUUAUUCAUCUUCCAAAAAAAAAAAAAAAAGAUGUUGAGCUCCUACCUUCUGUUAUGCACUACUCUUUAUGCUAAGACGUAAAGCAAUGGACACACGAUCUGUACUCUCAGGAGCUGUAUUUGAAUGGGAAAAGAACGGAGGCAGACAAGGAAGAAGAAAACAAAUUUCACAUAUAUAUAUAAAUAUAACAUGAUGAGUUCUGCUCUUAGCAACCAAACAAGUUUGAAUUGAAAGAAUUGUUACUGGGAGUAGCUGCGGGUCCCUGACACCACUCCGUUCCCAGUUCUGGAUCAUGGAAAAGCUCAGCUAUGGUUUCCCUCUCUCCUUUCAUUAAUUCCUCUGUAUUUGAAUUAGCUUGAUUUGGUCUCUCUCAACCAAAACCCUCUUAUGAAAGAAACUUAAUAAUAAACUUGGC
ensembl:lncRNA